rnacentral:rRNA from 1 species
UACGUAGGGGGCAAGCGUUGUCCGGAAUUAUUGGGCGUAAAGAGCUUGUAGGCGGUUUGUCGCGUCUGCUGUGAAAUUUCGGGGCUCAACCCCGAACUUGCAGUGGGUACGGGCAGACUAGAGUGUGGUAGGGGAGACUGGAAUUCCUGGUGUAGCGGUGGAAUGCGCAGAUAUCAGGAGGAAUACCGGUGGCGAAGGCGGCAUCCUGGACCGACAUUGACGCUGAACGGCGAAAGCUAGGGGAGCAAACGGG